rnacentral:rRNA from 1 species
UACGUAGGGGGCGAGCGUUGUCCGGAUUUAUUGGGCGUAAAGAGCUCGUAGGCGGUUCGGUAAGUCGGAUGUGAAAUCUCCACGCUCAACGUGGAGGGGCCAUUCGAUACUGCCGUGACUCGAGUCCGGUAGGGGAGUGUGGAAUUCCUGGUGUAGCGGUGGAAUGCGCAGAUAUCAGGAGGAACACCGGUGGCGAAGGCGGGUCUCUGGGCCAUUACUGACGCUGAGGAGCGAAAGCGUGGGGAGCGAACAGG